UACGUAGGUCCCGAGCGUUGUCCGGAAUUACUGGGCGUAAAGAGCUCGUAGGCGGUAGUUCAAGUCAGGUGUGAAAUCCGACGGCUUAACCGGAGGACUGCACCUGAUACUGGGCUGCUAGAGGUAAGGAGAGGAAGGUGGAAUUCCCGGUGUAGCGGUGAAAUGCGUAGAUAUAUGGAGGAACACCGGUGGCGAAAGCGGCCUUCUGGCCUUAACCUGACGCUGAGGAGCGAAAGCUAGGGGAGCAAACAGG
rnacentral:rRNA from 1 species